rnacentral:rRNA from 1 species
CCUACGGGGGGCGGCAGUGGGGAAUAUUGGACAAUGGGCGCAAGCCUGAUCCAGCCAUGCCGCGUGAGUGAUGAAGGCCCUAGGGUUGUAAAGCUCUUUCAGUGGGGAAGAUAAUGACGGUACCCACAGAAGAAGCCCCGGCUAACUUCGUGCCAGCAGCCCCGGUC